GAGGGUAGAGCUCAGUGGUAAAGUGCUUGCUUAGCAUGCACGAGGUCCUGGGUUCAAUCCCCAGUAUCUCCA
rnacentral:tRNA from 1 species